UACAGAGGUCUCAAGCGUUGUUCGGAUUCAUUGGGCGUAAAGGGUGCGUAGGCGGCGCGGUAAGUCGGGUGUGAAAUCUCGGAGCUUAACUCCGAAACUGCAUUCGAUACUGCCGUGCUUGAGGACUGGAGAGGCGAGUGGAAUUCCCGGUGUAGCGGUGAAAUGCGCAGAUAUCGGGAGGAACACCAAUGGCGAAGGCAGCUCGCUGGGACGGUACUGACGCUGAGGCGCGAAAGCGUGGGGAGCAAACAGG
rnacentral:rRNA from 1 species